GAAUUGGUUUUCAGUUUCUUAUUCAGAAAGAAACAAUUUGGUAUUGAAUAUUGUGUGGCAGGCCAAAGAAAAGGCUAUCCGAUUGAUGCAGUAAAUAAACGGAUGUGUCUAAAAAAAUGAACAACUAUAUGUAACCAGGGCAUAAAUUUGAUGAAUUUUGAUUUAAAUAACACACUUCACACAAAGGCUAAAACUUCGACAAUCUUAGUUGCAGAAAAAAUAUUGUAAAAUUGCUGAGGAAUACCAGAAAUAAAA